ACCCCCCUACACAUUUAUAUUACAUAUGUGGUGUUCAGGUCUUCCUGGACCCGAGGGUAAUAAAAGUGUGGAAAAGUGUGUGUGUCUUCCUCCUCCCUGGGCUGGCUGUUUCAACAUAGCACCAAGCACCUGUCUGUCUCGCUGCCAGUCUGCCUGUCUCACGCUUUUCUCAUACUCUUUACCCUUUGUAGUAUGUGAAACUACACAAUAUCCUGCGGGAACUUGCACAAUGGUAUUACAAUACAUUAUUUCGAAACGUUGUAAAAAAAUGCAGUAUUUUCCCACACUCUACCCCAGCCAGAGCUCCCACCUCAACAGGCCUAUCAAUUCCUCUAAGUUUGUGUUAAUGACCGACACGUCCCUAGUGUCCUACGUGCCAAAGAAAGGCAAAAAUGUGGUACUCAUGAGUACGCUGAAUAGGGACGACCAGAAAAAACAGAAAUCAUAAUGAAUUAUUACAAUGCCAUAAAAGGAGUGGUGGACAAUUUUUAGAUAAGCUGGUGACUGGCUACAGCUGCAAAAGAAGAACCCUACGCUGGCCACUUGGACAUUUUGGCGUACAACGUGUUUGUCAUCUUGACGAAUCCAUCGUGAAGAGGAUUCAGGAGGAGGAUGCUGGUACCCCAUCCGCAUGACCCACAGAACCGACAAUUCACACAAAUUGCAGCCGGUAGCAACAAGAAGAAGCGCUGCGAUGUGUGUGGACCCAAGAAAGACAGAAAGACACAGUACACAUGCAUCAAGUGCAAGAAAUGCUUUGCAACACACACACAGUAAAACUCUGUCCCUCAUGUGGUGUAUAGAACGGCCUUAAUUUGUGUUCAAUGGGGCUCAUUUUAUAAUUUCCCUAAAAUACUGUACAGUGGGGCAAAAAAGUAUUUAGUCAGCCACCAAUUGUGCAAGUUCUCCUACUUAAAAAUAUGGGAGAGGCCUGUAAUUUUCAUCAAAGUCCGUGUUGCCCAGCAACAGCCCCAAAACAUCACUGCUCUAGAGGAGAUCUGCAUGGAAGAAUGGGCCAAAAUACCAGCAACGGUGUGUGAAAACCUUGUGAAGACUUACAGAAAACGUUUGACCUCUGUCAUUGCCAACAAAGAGUAUAUCACAAAGUAUUGAGAUAAACUUUUGUUAUUGAUCAAAUACUUAUUUUCCAGCAUAAUUUGCAAAUAAAUUAAUUUAAAAUCCUACAAUGUGAUUUUCUGGAUUUUAUUUCUCAUUUUGUCUGUCAUAGUUGAAGUGUACCUAUGAUGAAAAUUACAGGCCUCUCUCAUCUUUUUAAGUGGGAGAACUUGCACAAUUGGUGGCUGACUAAGUACUUUUUUCUAGCAGAGGUAAAUAUUAACCAUGUAUGAUGUCUAUAUGAUGUCUAUAUCUAUAUGUAUGUAUUGUUUUAAAAACACAACCUAAGUCAGGGGCGGCAGGGUAGCUUAGUGGUUAGAGCGUUGGACUAGUAACCGGAAGGUUGCAAGUUCAAACCCCCGAGCUGACAAGGUACAAGUCUGUCAUUCUGCCCCUGAACAGGCAGUUCCUAGGCUGUCAUUGAAAAUAAGAAUUUGUUCUUAACUGACUUGUGUAGUUAAAUAAAAAUAAAUAGGCCAUCAUAGCAAAGUAAUUACAAUUUAGCAAAUUAACAUUGGAGUGACAAAUAGCAGAUGUGCAAGUAGAAAUACUGGUGUGCAAAAGAGCAGAAAAGUAAAUAAAAAUAUAAGUCUCCAGCUUCAGUGA